CAAUAAGCGGAGGAAAAGAAACUAACAAGGAUUCCCCUAGUAACUGCGAGUGAAGCGGGAAAAGCUCAAAUUUGAAAUCUGGCAGUCUAUUUUUUCUUCUUUGGCUGUCCGAAUUGUAAUCUAGAGAAGUGCUUACCUGCACUGGACCAUGUAUAAGUCUCCUGGAAUGGAGCGUCGCAGAGGGUGAGAAUCCCGUCUUUGACAUGGACUGCCAGUGUGUUGUGGUGUGCUCUCAAAGAGUCGAGUUGUUUGGGAAUGCAGCUCUAAAUGGGUGGUAAACUCCAUCUAAAGCUAAAUAUUGGCGAGAGACCGAUAGCGAACAAGUACCGUGAGGGAAAGAUGAAAAGGACUUUGGAAAGAGAGUUAAACAGUAUGUGAAAUUGUUGAAAGGGAAACGCUUGAAGUCAGUUGUGUCGGUUAGGGAUCAACCUAGCUUUUUUUGCUGGGUGAAUUUCCUAGUCUGACAGGCCAACAUCAGUCUUGACUGCUGGAAAAGAGCAGGGGGAAUGUGGCACCUUUGGGUGUGUUAUAGCCUUUUGUCAUAUGUGGCAGUUGGGACUGAGGGAUGCAGCGUGCCGCGAGGCUGGGUUUCGACCACGUUCACGCUUAGGAUGUUGGCUUUUAAUGGCUUCAAUCGACCCGUCUUGA
rnacentral:rRNA from 1 species